rnacentral:rRNA from 1 species
CCUACGGGACGCACCAGUAGGGAAUCUUCGGCAACGGACGAAAGUCUGACCGAGCAACGCCGCGUGAGUGAAGAAGGUUUUCGGAUCGUAAAACUCUGUUGUUAGAGAAGAACAAGUAGGAGAGUAACUGCUCUUACCUUGACGGUAUCUAACCAGAAAGCCACGGCUAACUACGUGCCAGCAGCCGCGGUAAUACGUAGGUGGCAAGCGUUGUCCGGAUUUAUUGGGCGUAAAGCGAGCGCAGGCGGUCUUUUAAGUCUGAUGUGAAAGCCCUCGGCUCAACCGAGGAAGGUCAUUGGAAACUGGAGGACUUGAGUGCAGAAGAGGAGAGUGGGAUUCCAUGUGUAGCGGUGAAAUGCGUAGAUAUAUGGAAGAACACCAGUGGCGAAGGCGACUCUCUGGUCUGUAACUGACGCUGAGGCUCGAAAGCGUGGGGAGCAGACAGGAUUAGAUACCCCAGUAGUC